rnacentral:rRNA from 1 species
CCUACGGGGGGCAGCAGUGGGGCAUAUUGGGCAAUGGGCGCAAGCCUGACCCAGCAACGCCGCGUGAAGGAAGAAGGCUUUCGGGUUGUAAACUUCUUUUCUCAGGGACGAAGCAAGUGACGGUACCUGAGGAAUAAGCCACGGCUAACUACUGGCCAGCAGCCGCGGAAAUACGUAGGUGGCAAGCGUUAUCCGGAUGUACGGGGUGUACAGGGCGUGUAGGCGGGACUGCAAGUCAGAUGUGAAAACCACGGGCUCAACCUGUGGCCUGCAUUUGAAACUGUAGUUCUUGAGUACUGGAGAGGCAGACGGAAUUCCUAGUGUAGCGGUGAAAUGCGUAGAUAUUAGGAGGAACACCAGUGGCGAAGGCGGUCUGCUGGACAGCAACUGACGCUGAGGCGCGAAAGCGUGGGGAGCAAACAGGAUUAGAUACCCCAGUAGUC